UUAAUAACUGACAUGUUAGAUGAGCCGC
rnacentral:piRNA from 1 species